AAAAACUUAAAAUCUAACCAAGUAUUUUUGUCUAGUUUUUUAGUGAAAAUAUCUUAUUGCACUAGAAAUAAGACAAAACUAACAUACAAGUAACUUAUCAGCAAGAUAGAGGAGCUGGUUUUA